AGUGGGGAAUCUUGCGCAAUGGGCGAAAGCCUGACGCAGCGACGCCGCGUGAGUGAUGAAGGCCUUCGGGUUGUAAAGCUCUGUGGGGCGAGACGAAUAAGUGCAGCCUAAUACGCUGCAUGAUGACGGUAUCGCCUUAGCAAGCACCGGCUAACUCUGUGCCAGCAGCCGCGGUAAGACAGAGGGUGCAAACGUUGUUCGGAAUUACUGGGCGUAAAGCGAGUGUAGGCGGUCUGAAAAGUCGGGUGUGAAAGCCCCGGGCUCAACCCGGGAAGUGCACUCGAAACUGCCAGGCUAGAGUAUCGGAGAGGUUGGUGGAAUUCUCGGUGUAGAGGUGAAAUUCGUAGAUAUCGAGAGGAACACCGGUGGCGAAGGCGGCCAACUGGACGAAUACUGACGCUGAGACUCGAAAGCGUGGGGAGCAAA
rnacentral:rRNA from 1 species